rnacentral:rRNA from 1 species
AACGCUAGCUACAGGCUUAACACAUGCAAGUCGAGGGGAAACGAUAUUGGAAGCUUGCUUCCGAUAGGCGUCGACCGGCGCACGGGUGAGUAACGCGUAUCCAACCUGCCCAUCACUUGGGGAUAACCUUGCGAAAGUAAGACUAAUACCCAAUGAUAUCUCUAGAAGACAUCUGAAAGAGAUUAAAGAUUUAUCGGUGAUGGAUGGGGAUGCGUCUGAUUAGCUUGUUGGCGGGGUAACGGCCCACCAAGGCGACGAUCAGUAGGGGUUCUGAGAGGAAGGUCCCCCACAUUGGAACUGAGACACGGUCCAAACUCCUACGGGAGGCAGCAGUGAGGAAUAUUGGUCAAUGGGCGAGAGCCUGAACCAGCCAAGUAGCGUGCAGGAUGACGGCCCUAUGGGUUGUAAACUGCUUUUAUAAGGGAAUAAAGUGAGUCUCGUGAGGCUUUUUGCAUGUACCUUAUGAAUAAGGACCGGCUAAUUCCGUGCCAGCAGCCGCGGUAAUACGGAAGGUCCGGGCGUUAUCCGGAUUUAUUGGGUUUAAAGGGAGCGUAGGCCGGAGAUUAAGCGUGUUGUGAAAUGUAGAUGCUCAACAUCUGCACUGCAGCGCGAACUGGUUUCCUUGAGUACGCACAAAGUGGGCGGAAUUCGUGGUGUAACGGUGAAAUGCUUAGAUAUCACGAAGAACUCCGAUUG